rnacentral:rRNA from 1 species
AGAGUUUGAUCCUGGCUCAGGAUGAACGCUAGCGGCAGGCUUAACACAUGCAAGUCGAGGGGUAUUAGUUUUCGGACUAAGAGACCGGCGCACGGGUGCGUAACGCGUAUGCAAUCUACCUUUUACAGAGGGAUAGCCCAGAGAAAUUUGGAUUAAUACCUCAUAGCAUAGCAGGAUGGCAUCAUUCAGCAAUUAAAGUCACAACGGUAAAAGAUGAGCAUGCGUCCCAUUAGCUAGUUGGUAAGGUAACGGCUUACCAAGGCUACGAUGGGUAGGGGUCCUGAGAGGGAGAUCCCCCACACUGGUACUGAGACACGGACCAGACUCCUACGGGAGGCAGCAGUGAGGAAUAUUGGACAAUGGGCGCAAGCCUGAUCCAGCCAUGCCGCGUGCAGGAUGACGGUCCUAUGGAUUGUAAACUGCUUUUAUACGAGAAGAAACACUCCUUCGUGAAGGAGCUUGACGGUAUCGUAAGAAUAAGAUCGGC